UACGUAGGGACCGAGCGUUGUCCGGAUUCAUUGGGCGUAAAGAGCUCGUAGGCGGCUGCUCAAGUCGAAUGUGAAAACUCGAGGCUCAACCUCGAGCCUGCAUUCGAUACUGGGCGGCUAGAGUCUGGUAGGGGGAUCUGGAAUUCCUGGUGUAGCGGUGGAAUGCGCAGAUAUCAGGAGGAACACCGAUGGCGAAGGCAGAUCUCUGGGCCGUAACUGACGCUGAGGAGCGAAAGCAUGGGGAGCGAACAGG
rnacentral:rRNA from 1 species